rnacentral:sRNA from 1 species
GGCAGGGCUGGCUGAACUGCCAGCGGUUGGUCAUUGACGAGAUCUCAAUGGUGGAGGCAGACCUGUUUGACAAACUGGAGGCCGUGGCCAGAGCUGUCCGGCAGCAGAACAAGCCAUUCGGAGGGAUCCAGCUCAUCAUCUGUGGGGACUUUCUGCAGCUGCCACCUGUGACCAAGGGCUCCCAGCCCCCACGGUUCUGCUUCCAGGUAUUACUCACCUCCUAGCUCUGCUCUCCUUGGGGGUCUGCUCUGCUCCUUGACCCACCCCCACCCUGCCCCCACCAGUCCAAGAGCUGGAAGAGGUGUGUGCCAGUGACCCUGGAGCUGACCAAGGUGUGGAGGCAGGCAGACCAGACCUUCAUCUCUCUACUGCAGGCCGUGAGGCUAGGCAGGUGGGCUCUGCCCUGACAGUCCAGCCCCAACAGGUGUUCAGAUGAGGUGACCCGCCAGCUCCAGGCCACAGCUUCCCACAAGGUGGGGCGAGAUGGGAUUGUGGCCACGAGGCUCUGCACCCACCAGGAUGAUGUGGCCCUCACCAACGAGAGGCGGCUUCAGGAGCUGCCAGGUAAGGUACACAGAUUUGAGGCUAUGGACAGCAACCCUGAGCUGGCCAGUACCCUGGAUGCCCAGUGUCCUGUUAGCCAGCUCCUUCAACUAAAGCUGGGGGCCCAGGUGAGUGGGAAGCAGGGCCUAGCCCCUGGGAGCUUGGGCUGUCCCGCAUGGGCCUUGCUGAUCCCUACCCCUCUGCCCAG